GGGUAGAUGACAGAGUCUGGUUGAAUGUGAUGCACUUGAAAUGCAUAGAGAAGAAAACUUCUCCUAGGGUUCAAAUCCCUAUCUAUCCG
rnacentral:tRNA from 1 species